UUAUUGGGCGUAAGCGCGCGCAGGUGGUUUCUUAAGUCUGAUGUGAAAGCCCACCCCUUAACCGUGGAGGGUCAUUGGAAACUGGGAGACUUGAGUGCUUAAGAGGAAAGUGGAAUUCCAUGUGUAGCGGUGAAAUGCGUAGAGAUAUGGAGGAACACCAGUGGCGAAGGCGACUUUCUGGUCUGUAACUGACACUGAGGCGCGAAAGCGUGGGGAGCAAACAGGAUUAGAUACCCUGGUAGUCCACGCCGUAUACGAUGAGUGCUAAGUGUU
rnacentral:rRNA from 1 species